rnacentral:rRNA from 1 species
CCCUUGUGGUGUGACUGCGUACCUUUUGUAUAAUGGGUCAGCGACUUAUAUUCUGUAGCAAGGUUAACCGUAUAGGGGAGCCGCAGGGAAACCGAGUCUUAACUGGGCGUUAAGUUGCAGGGUAUAGACCCGAAACCCGGUGAUCUAGCCAUGGGCAGGUUGAAGGUUGGGUAACACUAACUGGAGGACCGAACCGACUAAUGUUGAAAAAUUAGCGGAUGACCUGUGGCUGGGGGUGAAAGGCCAAUCAAACCGGGAGAUAGCUGGUUCUCCCCGAAAGCUAUUUAGGUAGCGCCUCGUGAACUCAUCUCCGGGGGUAGAGCACUGUUUCGGCUAGGGGGCCAUCCCGGCUUACCAACCCGAUGCAAACUGCGAAUACCGGAGAAUGUUAUCACGGGAGACACACGGCGGGUGCUAACGUCCGUCGUGAAGAGGGAAACAACCCAGACCGCCAGCUAAGGUCCCAAAGUCAUGGUUAAGUGGGAAACGAUGUGGGAAGGCACAGACAGCCAGGAUGUUGGCUUAGAAGCAGCCAUCAUUUAAAGAAAGCGUAAUAGCUCACUGGUCGAGUCGGCCUGCGCGGAAGAUGUAACGGGGCUAAACCAUGCACCGAAGCUGCGGCAGCGACACUAUGUGUUGUUGGGUAGGGGAGCGUUCUGUAAGCCGU